rnacentral:rRNA from 1 species
AUGCUAGAUUUUGUGAGGAUGGUUCCGAGAACCGAGUGUGCAAUUACAAAUGAUCUGCAAUGCAAUGACAUUUUGCCAACUGUACGGCAUCUGUCAGUAGUGACUGGUUACGCAUACAACAAAAAUCAGGUUGGGAACAAACAUUGCAGUAACAAUUUUGAAGAAAAUUUGCGAAAUAAAGUUACAUCAUUGAGAAAAUUGAGAACAUUGGUAUUGAUUGGGCAGUUCGACUCUUCCAUGUUGCAAUCCUUCCAAGACAUACUCCGAGAGGCACAUAAUCUUCGUCUAUUACAGAUUUCUGGAACAUCUGCUGAUUAUAAUUCCCUCAUGUGCAGUUUGGUAAAUCCUACCCAUCUUCGCUAUCUAAAGCUCAAAGUCGAUGAGGUGCACGAGGGUUUGCCUCAAGUUUGGAGCAAGUUUUGCCAUCUUCAAGUAUUAGAUGUCGCCUCAAACAUUGAUUCUAAUGUAAUUUAUGGCAUGAGUAAUGUUCCCAGCUUGCGGCACCUUGUUUCAAAAGAGGGAGUGCACUCUUCCAUUGCUGGAAUUGGUGAAUUGAUCUCACUUCAGGAGCUGCACAAUUUCAGUGUUCAAGAUUCUAAUGGCGUCGAUAUUAUAGAACUUCAAUCCAUGAAUGAACUUGUACGACUUGGGAUUUCUCAACUGCAAAAUGUUAAAACUAGGGAAGAGGCAUACCAGGCUAGACUGAAGGACAAGCACCAGUUGGAAAAGCUGCACUUGUCUUGGAAUGGUACCUCGUCACAUGAUGAAUAUGAUCAUGGCAUGAGCUCUGAAAUGGAGGUGCCCUUGCUGGUAGAGGUUCUUGAGGGUCCCGAAACUUGUACCAGCGUCGAGAUGGAGGAAUGCUUGCCAAAACAGGUGACUGAGGGCCUUCAAACUUCUAGCAGCAUAGUGAUGGAUUGCUUGCAAAUAGACGUGCUCGAGGGUCUUGAGCCAAACAGCAACCUGAAGCAUCUUCAGAUAUCUGGGUAUAAUGGGGCUCUCUCUCCAUUUUGGCUUGCCAGCAAUACCCCAGUUACCUCAUUGCAGACGCUUCAUUUAGAGAACUGUGGAGAAUGGCGGAUACUUCCAUCUCUGGGAAGUCUUCUGUUUCUUACAAAGUUGAAAUUGAGCGGCAUGCAGAAAGUAGUAGAAGUAUUUGUUCCUUCCUUGGAAGAAUUGGUGUUAAUUAAAAUGACAAAGUUGGAGAGGUGCCUUUGCAUUUCCAAGAGGGACUUGAACUCUAGUUUAAGGGUUCUGAAGAUUAAGGGGUGCCCUGUAUUGGAGGUGUUUGAUCUGUUUGGGAACGGGCAGGAACUGAAAAUUGAGGAGCCAUGGUUGCCUGGUCUUCGUGAGCUGAUUGUUCAUGAUUGUCCUCAUUUGCUGAUACCACAUUGUUUACCAUCUUCAAGUACCUUUAGAAUUUUCAACAGGAAAGUUUCAAAAUUUGCAAGAAUUCAAGGUUGGUCCUCCGAAAGAUUAACCAUCUGUAUUUUACACAAGAAUUUUGAGGAAUCUUCUUCCGAUGACGAUUUCAGUGAGUUCUGUGGUGAGCAAUUGGUGUUAGAUGGCAACAUUAUGGCACCGCAUAAUCUGCGGUUCUUGACUCGCUUGAAAAUAGAAGGUUGCCAAGAUCUAUUGUCUGUUUCAUUCAAAGGAUUAAGGAAACUCGUGUCCUUGAAGACGCUGAAAAUACGCAACUGUGGAAAACUUUUCUCUCCAGCUAUUCUGCGAGAGCAUGUCAAUGAGGAUGUGACAGCUGCAAAUUGUGGUGCCCUCCCAUCUCUUCAAUGCCUCAGUAUCAAGUCAUGUGGAAUAACAGGGAAGUGGCUAUCUCUGAUUCUGAAGCAUGCUCUAGUCCCAGAGGAACUGAUUUUACAGGACUGCCCUGAAAUAACACGGUUGUCAAUAGAACCAGAAGAAAACAAUGUAUCAAAUGUUAUCUCAGCCCCAAAUGCGUCAACACUGACAAGUUCAGCUCAAGACAGGCUCUUGUGUAUUCCGUUAAAUCUCGUAUCCUCUCUGAAGAAGAUAUCAAUUUGUGAAUGCCCUGAUCUCGCAUUCUGCGGGAACAAUGAAGGCUUCGCUGAAUUUACCUCCCUUGAAAUGCUAACAAUUAAUUAUGGAUGUGACAUGCUUCCAUCAUCUUUGGUGCAUGAGGAUGGAAGAUGGCUCCUUCCAAAAUCACUUGUAGAACUUGAUGUCAACGAAGAUAGUGAAGAGACGCUGGAGCCGAGCUUUGUGGGGAAUGCCACCUGUCUCAAAGUGUUAGAUGUAUGGGGCAGCUCAUCUUUGGAAUAUCUGAAGCUGCAUCACUGCACGGCACUGGAAAAGUUGACAGUUAGAGACUGUGAAUUGCUUGACGAACUUGAGGGCUUGCCGUCCCUCACAAAGUUGGAAGUAGAGUACAUUUCAAGUUUGGAAUCUCUGCAGCUGCAUUCCUGCACGGCACUGGAAGAGUUGAAUAUUUUGAGCUGUGCAUCACUCUCCACAUUGGAGGGCUUUUCAUCCCUUGGUAGCUUGAGGCAUUUGAAAAUACACGACUGCCUUUGCUUGCAUCCAUGUUUGGAGGGUUUGCCAGGGCAGGGUUACCAACCAUUCCCUCGACUCGAAAGUCUUGAUAUCGAUGACUUUUCUAUUCUGACCACAUCAUUCUUCAAACACCAGACAUCACUCCAAAGCCUCAAACUCAGAACUAGGGACGUAGGGGUGACAAGACUAACGGAUGAGCAAGAGAGAGAACUUUUGCGCCUCGAGUCCCUGCAGACCCUCAAAUUCGAAGCUUCCGAGUAUCUCAAAUACCUUCCUGCAGGGCUACACAGCCACCCCUCCCUCGAGAGGCUGGAGGUCUAUAGAUGUCCAAGAAUCUCAAGGCUGCCAGCAAUGGGCCUCCCACCUUCACUGGAAAAUUUGCACAUCAUGUUCUGCAGCGAGGAGCUGAACGACGGAUGCAGAAUGCUCAGAACAAGCAACUUAAAUGUCAGCAUUAAUUACCAAAAUGUGGAAUGA